UACGUAGGGAGCGAGCGUUGUCCGGAUUCAUUGGGCGUAAAGGGUGCGUAGGUGGCGCCGUAAGUCAGGUGUGAAAUUUCGGAGCUUAACUCCGAAACUGCAUUUGAUACUGCGGUGCUUGAGGACUGGAGAGGAGACUGGAAUUUACGGUGUAGCAGUGAAAUGCGUAGAGAUCGUAAGGAAGACCAGUGGCGAAGGCGGGUCUCUGGACAGUUCCUGACAGCUGAGGCACGGAAGGCCAGGGGAGCAAACGGG
rnacentral:rRNA from 1 species